rnacentral:rRNA from 1 species
AUUGAACGCUGGCGGCAGGCCUAACACAUGCAAGUCGAGCGGAGCGGCGGACGGGUGAGUAAUGCCUAGGAAUCUGCCUGGUCGUGGGGGAUAACGUCCGGAAACGGGCGCUAAUACCGCAUACUAUCAGAUGAGCCUAGGUCGGAUUAGCUAGUUGGUGGGGUAAAGGCUUACCAAGGCGACGAUCCGUAACUGGUCUGAGAGGAUGAUCAGUCACACUGGAACGGAGACACGGACCAGACUCGUACGGGAGGCAGCAGUAGGGAAUAUUGGACAAUGGGCGAAAGCCUGAUCCAGCCAUGCCGAGUGUGUGAAGAAGGUCUUCGGAUUGUAAAGCACUUUAAGUUGGGAAGCGUUACCAACAGAAUAAGCACCGGCUAACUGCGUGCCAGCAGCCGCGGUAAUUC